rnacentral:misc_RNA from 1 species
UCCGAGUUGUCCCCGGCAGUCCUCUUAGAGUCCCCGGCAUUACCCGCUGGCAACUAAGAGCAGGGGUUGCGCUCGUUGCGGCACUUAAGCCAACACCUCACGACACGAGCUGACGACAGCCAUGCACCACCUGUGUAAGGCCCCGAAGGACACCGUAUCUCUACGGCUUUUCCCUACAUGUCAAGCCUUGGUAAGGUUCUCCGCGUUGCGUCGAAUUAAGCCACAUGCUCCGCCGCUUGUGCGGGUCCCCGUCAAUUCCUUUGAGUUUUAGCCUUGCGGCCGUACUCCCCAGGCGGGGUGCUUAAUGCGUUAGCGUCGGCACGGAGAGGGUUGAAGACCUCCCCACACCUAGCACCCAACGUUUACGGCGUGGACUAC